GUCGAAGGCUGUGAAUUGCAGAGGGGCUGAAAGUGGGGUGCCGGGUCGGGACUCUGGAUCUGGGAUUUUUAAGUCAGCUUUGGGGAUGGGGAGGUCCAGGCUGUGGCCCCUUAGGCCACGUGAAGGGAGAGCCUCGCUUUUGUUCACAGUGCUGAGGUGCGCAGGACAGAGCAGUCCCGGGGCGUGUAGUAUCACUUGUCCGUCGUGCCUUCUGUGUCUUUUGUGCCUCUCCUGUUGUAUGUGCCUCGCCUUAUUUCUUCUGGGGGCUUACCAGAAACCCCGGCGUCGCUCGUACCAUCUCCGAUCUCUGGGCUCUUCAGCCCGAUGCCAUCGAAGCUUUGCCUCAGGAGCUCGCAGAGGCCUUGGAAUUGCAUCUGUUUUGGAAAGCAUCCGAUCGGAUGUCUUUUAGAGGUCUUGUUCCGAGCUGUGUCAACAGCCGUGCGCCGCGAGGAUCCAUUGUUGCGGCUUAGGUCUUGAAGAAACACAAAGAUAGGUAGAGGACUGUGGCCCUAAAAUUCUCGGGCAUCCGUCUUGGCAGUUGCUGGAGUUUGUCAUUCCAUCAGCAUCUUCUUCCUCCCGGGUUCUGCGAGCUUCAUCAGCUCGCCUUCAUUGUCUUCCGGCUCAUCUCAUUCCGCGUUCUCUCGGUCCUUGUGGCCGUUCUUGUGGCCCAGAGUUUUGUCUCCCCGUUGUGUCCCCUCGUCUGUUGUCUUGUGUGUCACGGGUGUCUGGGUGUAGUUGUCCCGGAGCUGCUCUGUCCUGCUGCCCAGCCUGGGUGUAGGUGUAGAAGGCCAAGUCUCAGGCCCCUGUAAUUUGAAAUUUGUGAUGUAGGGUGUAGUUGGAGUCUAGCGGGUGUGCCUAGAUGGACACAAGAUGUCAGGAGCUGUGAAGUUACCCUGCAGCACUUUGACUUUUGUCUCAGCUUUCUUUCAGAUGCACACGGAUGAAAUCGGUGGCAGAGCGCCCCAUCCAGGGUAAGGGGGUUCCCCCGAGAAGGUAAGUCAAUGUUUCUCUUUGCAGGGCAACUGGAACCGGUCACUGUGUUACAGGUCUCCUCUUUGUCUUUAUUUUUAGGAAAUAGAGCCAGCUAGCAGCAGUCAAGGUCAAGUGGGCAAGGCAGUCCAGUCACGUUUCAUCGAGACCCCGUCGCUGACCGGCCAGCACGCCUGCUUCGCCUCUGCCAUGAGCCCUGCAGAAGCGUUAUGGGAUCGUGUGACGGAGCCUUUUCCACAUAACGGGGCCGUGUGGGUGGUCUGCAGGAACAGGCCGAGGGGUUGCCGCGUGCCCUGCGAUGGCGGCGUCCGGCUCCCGGCGUGGUCGAAACGUGCGGCCUCAGGACGCGGUCGUUCGCAGGAGACCCUGACCGAGAGACGGCAGCCUGGCGAUGGCAGGAACUUCCCGGUUGGCGAGGCACCCUUCCUUGGCGCUCCACGUGGAUCCUCCCCGCCGGGCAUUCGAGAGUGAAGUCGAAGGCUAUGACCCGCAGCGGGGAUGAAAGCGGGGUGCUGGGUUUUGACUCGUGACCCGGGAUUUUUGAGUCAGCUUUGGGGGUGUCCAGGCUGUGGCCCCUUAGGCCACGUGAAGGGAGAGCCUCACUUUUGCUCACAGUGCUGAGGUGCGCAGGACAGAGCAGUCCCAGGCCAUGUCGUGUCACUUGUCCAUUGUGCUUUCUGUGUCUUUUGUGCCUCUUGUGUUGUACGUGCUUCGCCUUAUCCCUUCCAGGGGCUCACCAGAAACCCUGGCAUCAUUCCUCGCAUCUCCCAUUUCUGGCUUCCUCGGCCAGGCACCAUCAAAGCUUUGCCUCGGGUGCUCUCAGGGGCCUUGGCAUUGCAUCUCUCUUUUAAAAGCAUCCGAUCGGAUGUCUUUUAGAGGUCUUGUUCCGAGCUGUGUCGACAGCCGUGCGCCGCAAGGAUCCAUUGCUGCAGCUUAGGAUUUGAAGAAACGCAAAGAUGGGUAGGGGACUUUGGCCCUAAAAUUCUUGGGCAUCCCUCUUGGCAGUUCGUGGAGUUAAUCGUUCCGUCAGCAUCUUCUUCCUCCCGGGUUCUGCGAGCUUCAUCAGCUCGCCUUCAUUCUCACCCGGCUCAUCUCGUUCCGCGUUCUCUCGGUCCUUGCGGCCAUUCUUGUGGCCCAGAGCUGUGUCUCCCUGUUGUGUCCCUUCGUCUGUUGUCUUGUGUGUCACGGGUGUCUGGGUGUAGGUGUCCCGGAGCUGCUCUGUCCUGCUGCCCAGCCUGGGUGUAGGUGUAAAAGGCCAAGUCCCAGGCCCCUGUAAUUUGAAAUUUGUAAUGUAGGGUGUAGUUGGAGUCUAGCGGGUGUUCCUAGAUGGACACAAGGUGGCUGGAGCUGUGAAGUUAUCCUUCAGCUCUUUGAGUUUUGUCUUGGCUUUCUAACCAUUACAUUAUUUACUGCUCGAUGUGGGGUUCAAAAGAGUAAGAAAAAUCUAUACUGCUUACGUUGUAUUGGUACUUCCUUUGUGUUGGGAAAAAGGACUUUGGGAUAAAGGACUUUGUAAUGGUGUUGCUUAAGUUCAUGUCUCUCAGGGUAGAGGCCUUCAUGUAGUUCUAGUCUCUGAGCUUUUUUUGAGGUUUUAAUCUACUUGUCCAGUAAUGGAUUACUUGUAUUUAUUUCUAUUUUAUGGCUGGCUAUCUAUCUAUCUAUAGUCAUUUGUUUAUUAUAGAUGUGUAUAUUUUCAUUUCUAUAUUAUUCAUUUAAAUGCCAUGCCUGUAAGUAAAUAAAAAACAAAUAGUCCCUUGAUUUAAAUAUUUUUCAUACCUAUUUCUAUCAUAUUGAACC